rfam:Musa acuminata subsp. malaccensis Doubled-haploid Pahang (DH-Pahang) genomic chromosome, chr5
UUGUGCCUGGCUCCCUGUACGCCACACAUGUAGAUCGAUAUCUAUGGGGAGAUUGGCUACUGUGGGUGGCGUGCAAGGAGCCAAGCACGC